rnacentral:rRNA from 1 species
GGCAUGCCUUACACAUGCAAGUCGAACGGCAGCAUGGAAGAGCGUUGCUCUUCUGGAUGGCGAGUGGCGAACGGGUGAGUAAAGCAUCGGAACGUACCGUGUAGUGGGGGAUAACGUAGCGAAAGUUACGCUAAUACCGCAUACGCACUGAGGUGGAAAGCAGGGGAUCGCAAGACCUCGCGCAAUUAGAGCGGCCGAUACCUGAUUAGCUAGUUGGUGAGGUAAAGGCUCACCAAGGCAACGAUCAGUAGCUGGGUCUGAGAGGACGAUCAGCCACACUGGGACUGAGACACGGCCCAGACUCCUACGGGAGGCAGCAGUGGGGAAUUUUGGACAAUGGGGGCAACCCUGAUCCAGCAAUGCCGCGUGAGUGAAGAAGGCCUUCGGGUUGUAAAGCUCUUUUGUCAGGGAAGAAACAGCAGCUCUAACACAGUCUGCGAAUGGCGGUACCUGAAGAAUAAGCACCGGCUAACUACGUG